AUUGAACGCUGGCGGCAUGCCUUACACAUGCAAGUCGAACGGUAACAGGUUAAGCUGACGAGUGGCGAACGGGUGAGUAAUGUAUCGGAACGUGCCCAGUCGUGGGGGAUAACGUAGCGAAAGCUACGCUAAUACCACAUACGAUCUACGGAUGAAAGCGGGGGAUCGCAAGACCUCGUGCGAUUGGAGCGGCCGAUAUCUGAUUAGGUUGUUGGUGAGGUAAAAGCUCACCAAGCCUGCGAUCUGUAGCUGGUCUGAGAGGACGACCAGCCACACUGGAACUGAGACACGGUCCAGACUCCUACGGGAGGCAGCAGUGGGGAAUUUUGGACAAUGGACGCAAGUCUGAUCCAGCAAUGCCGCGUGCAGGACGAAGGCCUUCGGGUUGUAAACUGCUUUUGUACGGAACGAAACGGUGAGCUCUAAUACAGUUUGCUAAUGACGGUACCGUAAGAAUAAGCACCGGCUAACUACGUGCCAGCAGCCGCAGUAA
rnacentral:rRNA from 1 species